AGGACCAGCAGUCGUGCUGAUUUGCCCCCAGGGAUCCUCUAAAAGUGCAUUUGGGGAUUAGGUCAUUGUUCCCAGCCAAAGGGAGACCCCAGAAAAGUUGGCAUGCACUCAAGGUCCUGGAUCUCAGCUCAUCUGAUUGGAGGUGGUGGCCAACCCAAGUACCUGCUGGUGCCCCCUGGUGGAAGAGCAAAGGAUACAAGCACCAUCUGGGUCAGGAAGGAAAAGAUAUGGUCAGGAAGGGAACAGGUUGCUCUGUGGAUCUUCCCAAUGACUUUAAAGAGCUGUGCUGUGACUCUCCCUGCUGUCCCCAUAGCACCCCAUCCUUGGAGCUUCCUGAUGCACACAUAGCAGAACAGAAGCUGAGAGACUGCAUUUCCUGGAGAUGGCUUACAUGAUCUCAGACAACUGGGAAGGGUGUCCCAUGAGGAACGUGUACGUCUGGGGCAGUGGGAAGAUUCAACUGGGAAAGGGGCUUGUUGUUAGUCAAGCCUUACCAUCUAAAUUUAAUCUCUCUAAUCCACAGG